UCGCUGGAAUAUACAACUGGACAUAACCAUCCAAGGAAAGGCGAUCGUGGACGAAAAUAGCUGAUAUGUCGACAAAGUAUAGUAUGUAUAAGCGACUUUUGUAAACGUUGUGGUAACUAGAUAGCCAGUGAUGUACCUAAAUGGUAUAUCUGCCGCUUGGAAUGCGCCGAAGGAGUUGAUGCAUUACUCAUAGCUUUUCUUUACGACACUUAUUCUGAUGACCGAUCAUCUACGUGUGUAAAUUUAAAAAUUAUCGUUACCAAAUUUGAACAGCAGUGUUACCGUGAAAGUUUAUAGGCCUAUAUGUUCGUUAUAAUAUUCCCGGAAAAAGGAACAGCCAGCCUCGCUGUAAAGGUUGAUCGAUCUCAAGCAGACGAAAUCGUGAGAAGACGCUUAAUUUUCUAUUUCGUGAAUCAAACAAUAUGUUUUGUUUAUUUUUGAAGGUUAAACUUUCAAGUUUUUAUAUUCACAAGGUUGCAUUUUGUUUGCUGACAAUAAAACAGACACAACUU
rnacentral:sRNA from 1 species